rnacentral:rRNA from 1 species
ACGGGAGGCAGCAGUAAGGAAUCUUGCACAAUGGGGGAAACCCUGAUGCAGCAACGCCGCGUGAUUGAUGAAGGCCUUCGGGUUGUAAAGAUCUGAUCUAAGGGAAGAAACAAAUGACGGUGCAUUAGGAGAAAGCCCCGGCUAACUACGUGCCAGCAGCCGCGGUAAUACGUAGGGGGCAAGCGUUAUCCGGAAUUAUUGGGCGUAAAGAGUGCGUAGGUGGUUACCUAAGCGCAAGGUUUAAUCUUGAGGCUUAACCUCAUUCUGCCUUGCGAACUGGGCUACUUGAGUGCAGGAGGGGAAAGCGGAAUUCCUAGUGUAGCGGUUAAAUGCGUAGAUAUUAGGAAGAACACCGGAGGCGAAGGCGGCUUUCUGGACUGUAACUGACACUGAGGCACGAAAGCGUGGGGAGCAAACAGGAUUAGAUACCCUGGUA